rnacentral:lncRNA from 1 species
ACAGAUUCUGAUCCAGAAGAGUAAUUUUUCCUGUUGCUUCUUGAAGAAUGCAAUUAUCAUCAAGGUUCCAAGUGCCAUCAAUUGAGGAUGAGAAAUAGAAAGAAAAUGCUCCUAUUUCAUACAAGUUGAUCUGCAGAAGAAACAGACAACACCAAGGAUAAACAUAGCAACAG